rnacentral:rRNA from 1 species
GUGGGGAAUAUUGGACAAUGGGCGAAAGCCUGAUCCAGCCAUGCCGCGUGUGUGAAGAAGGUCUUCGGAUUGUAAAGCACUUUAAGUUGGGAGGAAGGGUAGUAACCUAAUACGUUGCUAUUUUGACGUUACCGACAGAAUAAGCACCGGCUAACUUCGUGCCAGCAGCCGCGGUAAUACGAAGGGUGCAAGCGUUAAUCGGAAUUACUGGGCGUAAAGCGCGCGUAGGUGGUUCAGUAAGUUGGAAGUGAAAUCCCCGGGCUCAACCUGGGAACUGCUUUCAAAACUGCUGAGCUAGAGUACGGUAGAGGGUGGUGGAAUUUCCUGUGUAGCGGUGAAAUGCGUAGAUAUAGGAAGGAACACCAGUGGCGAAGGCGACUACCUGGACUGAUACUGACACUGAGGUGCGAAAGCGUGGGGAGCAAACAGGAUUAGAAACCCCGGUAGUCC